rnacentral:sRNA from 1 species
CCUCACCUGAAACUGUUACACACGCCUUCACUUCAACAAACUGAUUGGGGGCAUUUAUUUACCGAAGCUGCAGCGGCGCAGUAAUGGCCUUCAGCCUUCUUCUCAAUCUCCCUCCUCCCUGUCCUCCUCAGCUUCUCCACAUGAGAAGUACUAAUCAUUAAGUUAUCCUCUUCUUUAUAAACUCCCUGAAGGCGGCUCCAUUGCAUAUGCCGAAAAUCUCUGUCUGUCUAUCUCUGAACUAAUGCAAACUGGAUUGCAAAUUUUCAUUUCACUGACAAAUUUUCACGUUGGAGGAAUUUCCAUUCCGGUGGGCUUUUCUUGCUGGUGCUGCAGGCGCCUGGAUGGUUAAAUUUUCAAUGAUAUUUUUGGUAUAUGUAGAAGAAAAUGCAUAAUCCACGUUGUUUUUCUGAAGAAUUGCACCGCUCCUGUCGUCCUCAAGCAUUCUGUGUUUGUACCUUGGUAUGUGCUUCCUACCGAGGAUGGAUCAUAUAUGCUUAAAAUUCAUCCUCCUUGUCCAGGUUUUAAUGAGUUCUCACACCUAUUUGGCUAUUUUAUUAGAUUGAUUCAGUUGUCCGUGCCAGAUUAUAUGCAGAUUUUACUGUGCGUCUAAGUUGUUUUUCACAUAUUGUAGGCUUAAAGGAGAUGUAGACGUCUUCGUCACUAAAGUUAAUGCUUACAAAU